CCUACGGGAGGCAGCAGUGAGGAAUAUUGGUCAAUGGACGAGAGUCUGAACCAGCCAAGUCGCGUGAAGGAUGACGGCCCUACGGGUUGUAAACUUCUUUUGUCAGGGAGCAAUUGGGUCCACGCGUGGGCUUAGCGAGAGUACCUGAAGAAAAAGCAUCGGCUAACUCCGUGCCAGCAGCCGCGGUAAUACGGGGGAUGCGAGCUUUAUCCUGAUUUAUUGGGUUUAACGGGUGCGUAGGCGGAAUAUCAAGUCAGCGGUAACAAUUCGGGGCUCAACCCCGUCGUGCCGUUGAAACUGAUGUUCUGGAGUGGGCGAGAAGUAUGCGGAAUGUGUGGUGUAGCGGUGAAAUGCAUAGAUAUCACGCAGAACUCCGAUUGCGAAGGCAGCAUACCGGCGCCCAACUGACGCUGAAGCACGAAAGCGUGGGUAUCGAACAGGAUUAGAUACCCCAGUAGUC
rnacentral:rRNA from 1 species